rnacentral:rRNA from 1 species
AUUGAACGCUAGCGGGAUGCCUUACACAUGCAAGUCGAACGGAGUGGCGGACGGGUGGGUAAUGUAUCGGACGGUGCCCCGUAGCGGGGGAUAACUACCCGAAAGCGUAGCUAAUACCUCAUACUCUUGGUCCGGCCGACAUCGGAUUAGCUAGCUGGUGGGGUAACGGCUCACCCAGGCGAAGAUCCAUAGCUGGUUUGAGAGGACGACCAGCCACACUGGGACUGAGACACGGCCCAGACUCAUACGUGAGGCAGCAGUGGGGAAUUUUGGACAAUGGGGGAAACCCUGAUGCAGCCAUCCCGCGUGUGCGAAGAAGGCCUUCGGGUUGUAAAGAACUUUUGGCAGGAACGCGGUACCUGCAGAAGAAGCACCGGCUAACUACGUGCCAGCAGCCGCGGUAAUAC